UUCGCAAUGCCCGAAAGGGUGACGAAGCGACGCCGCGUGGGUGAGGAAGGCCUUCGGGUUGUAAAGCCCUGUCAGGAGUUAAGAAGUAUAAGUGUGUUGAUACCGCAUUUAUUUGACGAAGGCUCCAAAGGAAGCCACGGCUAACUCUGUGCCAGCAGCCGCGGUAAUACAGAGGUGGCAAGCGUUGUUCGGAAUUAUUGGGCGUAAAGAGCACGUAGGUGGGUUUGUAAGUCAGAUGUGAAAGCCUUCUGCUCAACGGGAGAAUUGCAUCUGAAACUGCGAGUCUUGAGUGUAGGAGGGGAGAAUGGAACUUCUGGUGGAGCGGUGAAAUGCGUAGAUAUCAGAAGGAACGCCGGCGGCGAAAGCGAUUCUCUGGCCUAUUACUGACACUCAGUGUGCGAAAGCUAGGGGAGCAAACGGGAUUAGAUACCCCGGUAGUCCUAGCUGUAAACGAUGGGCACUAAGUAGAGGGGUUUU
rnacentral:rRNA from 1 species